rnacentral:rRNA from 1 species
GAUCAUGGCUCAGGACGAACGCUGGCGGCGUGCCUAACACAUGCAAGUCGAACGGAACUGUUUUGAAAGAUUUCUUCGGAAUGAUUUGAUUUAGUUUAGUGGCGGACGGGUGAGUAACGCGUGAGUAACCUGCCUUCAAGAGGGGGAUAACAUUCUGAAAAGAAUGCUAAUACCGCAUGACAUAUCGGAACCACAUGGUUCUGAUAUCAAAGAUUUUAUCGACUUGAAGAUGGACUCGGCG